rnacentral:rRNA from 1 species
GACGAACGCUGGCGGCGUGCUUAACACAUGCAAGUCGAACGGUGAAAGCGGAGCUUGCUCCGCUGGAUCAGUGGCGAACGGGUGAGUAACACGUGGGCAACCUGCCCCUCACUUCGGGAUAACUCCGGGAAACCGGGGCUAAUACCGGAUAUGACCUCCUUGGGCAUCCUGGGAGGUGGAAAGUUUUUCGGUGAGGGAUGGGCCCGCGGCCUAUCAGCUUGUUGGUGAGGUAGUGGCUCACCAAGGCGACGAGGGGUAGCCGGCCUGAGGGGGCGAACGGCCACACUGGGACUGAGACACGGCCCAGACUCCUACGGGAGGCAGCAGUGGGGAAUAUUGCGCAAUGGGCGGAAGCCUGACGCAGCAACGCCGCGUGCGGGAUGACGGCCUUCGGGUUGUAAACCGCUUUCAGCAGGGAAGAAGCCGCAAGGUGACGGUACCUGCAGAAGAAGCACCGGCUAACUACGUGCCAGCCGCCGCGGUAA